GCAUUCAUCAGCAGGAGAAUAUACUUGAGAUUUGGUUGGAUCCACAUCCACAGGAGAUUUCGACAUUCAGCAGCUACAGGGGACAAGGGACAAGAAGCUGGCAAGAACUGACUUACCUUCUCCUUCAGCUUAUUGACCUGCUCCUCCAGCAGCAGAGUCUGCCAUGUAAAGAUCAAAUGUAAAGCUGCUCUUUUCAAGUUUGACUUCCAAACUGUGCAGUUCUUCAAUGGAGCAUUCUUCCAACCUCUCACCCAAAAGUUUCCUGCAUCUCAACGAAAAUUAGUUCGUGGGUUGCUACAUAGGGAUAUCAGUAUUUGAUAGCAUCGGUAUUUGAUAGCUAAAUAAUUACCUUUUGUAAGCAUCAAGUGCUUCAAGUUUCUUUGCCAGGCCUUCCGCAUCAGCUUUUACUUGCUGCAAUAUAAGUCCGGACCAGACAAUCUUAGUAUCA